UGGUGCAGUAGGUAGUGCUUCAGUCUCCCAAGCUGAAGGUCCUGAGUUCAAUCCUCAG
rnacentral:tRNA from 1 species